UCAAAUUGCUGCAACAUUAGUGACACUGCCUUCUAGAGGUACGAGGAAGUUCAACACAAACCUGGCCAAUCCCAAGGCAGUAUCAGGGUGGGUUUUGUUCGAGUUUCUCCAUCUGCAAUCCAGCAGCAUAGCCUUCUGUGGGAGAUUCACCCAGAGGGACUGAAAUGUUUUGGCCAAUCCACACUAGCAGUCAUUGGGCUGAAGUUUUCUUUGUCUCUCAGGAUGGAGAAAUUGGACUGAUUCCUCAGACAAGGAAGAGAGCCAGGCACCAAAUCCCGAGAUCUGGAUCUGCAAUCACUGCCUGGUCAGGCUGGAAUGAAUAAUCCAGCUGUAAUGGGGUGUGGGAAUGUGUGCAGCAUGCCUUUUUUUAAACUUUUGAUACUUUGCAGAAGAGGCACACCUUACAUCAGCCAGGCCUUACAGAAAGUUCAGUUCAAAGUUUUUGGCUUUUUCUGCGUCUUUUGAAUGAAACAAACACAGAUUACAUAGUUUUAAAUUCCCCAUCCUAUCUACACAGGCUCAUUUGCUGUCAUGUUUAGCUACUUGUAGAAAAGAAGAAACACUACCCCUUUAAUUCUUCAAAUAGGUUACUAGGAAAACAUUAGCAUUUUUGCAAAAUAUAUUGGGUUGACUGUUUUGGUUUAUUUUUGCUGAGAGCAGACUGGAUUGACUACAGAAAGGUUGGCAAGUGGAAAGUACAAAGUCUCUUUAUAAAAGUGAUCUGAGGAGCAGGAGCACGCACCUAGGAAAUCUUUGUUGAUUGUUGCUAAUAUCUAUGAUAAUUAAGCUAAAAAUAUCCACAAAGCAAUAGAAUUUGCAGAGACGACUCUAUUGUCUUAAGCAAAUAAUGAAGCAGGGAACAGUUAAAUUGAUCCCACAACUCCCAUUUCAAUAACAAAGCAGCAACAACUGUUAAUCUAUAGCACUCACUUUAGAUUACAAACCUAACACUGAACAGGCAAUUUCAUUAGUGAGAAUACAGCUGAGAGAGAAAUGCCGGCAGGGAAAAAAGCCAUCCCUGUUGAAAUCAAAGCAUCCUGAGAAUUUCUUGCUGCUGUGUACCCAGAAGUGCAAUCAGGGAAAAGUUCUGAAGAUAUCAGGUACAGCUAUAGGAAGCAGUUCCCUUUUGUUUUGCCCUGAAGGCUGUCAGAACACAGCCUGCUGACCGAUCUCACCAACCCAGGUUUUUCCUUUUUAUUCUUGUCCCCCAGCUCAACACAUUCUCUGAGAGCCAACCAACCCCCAAGCUCACCCACAGAUACCAGCACUGCCUGGAAGAGAGAGUUCUCUUUUAAAAUUAGCUCCUUUCAGACGCUUGUACAAACCCAUAGAUAUCACAGGGCCUGCAGAGCCAGUGCCAAGGAACAUCCCCAGAGUGAUGCUGCCAAUGAAGGAGGGAAGGCUCAUUCCCCAUCAGUGCUGGCAGCUGUGGGGACCUUAUGGGAGUCAGAACUUUCUGUUCUCACUGAAGGUAGCAGGCAGGACUAUAAAUAUCCACAUAGAACAUAUUUACUGAAGGAUUGAGUGCUGUAAGAACACAUUUUAGAGGUAAUAGCAGCUACUGAGAUAAAAUCAAAGAACCACAUAAUAAUGGAGGUGAGAAGGGACCUCUGAAAGCACCUACUCCAGCCUCCUGCUCAAAUCAGAGCCAACUUCCAUUACAGGGUGUGCUGCCUGCGACCGUGGCCAGCUGUGUUCUGACAGAUCUCAGGGAUGGAGAGCCCACAGCCUUUCCAAGGAAGCUGUUUCUGUGUUGCAUAACCUUCAUUCUGAUGAAUUUUUUCCUCAGAAUGUACGUCUACUAUCUCAUCAUUUUGCAGCACGCUGCUGCAGAGAGUCUGACUCCAGCUUCACUACAAUAUCAUUGAGGUAAUGGAAGACGGCAAUUAGAAGUCCCAUUAGCCAACCUUCUCCAGGCUAAACAAACUCAGCACCCUUAGACUCUCCUAAUACAUCUCCUGAACAUCUUAUUGACCCUUGACUAGACGUGCUCCCAUUUUUUGACCUGUCAGUUGCACUGGAACAGUCUUCCAACUGUGAGUUGCAAUCUCACAAGUGCAGAGCUGAGGUUAAUGAUGGACCUGUUGGCUACAUUCAUAUGCAGCCAGGCUUCAUUACCCUAAGCACACACUGCUCAUAACCACUUUGUGGUCCACCAGGACCCCAGGUCCUUUCUGCAGAGCUUCUCCCAUUCAGUCCAUAUUGUUGAUGUAUCUCAGAGGCAGGACCAGCUGUGCUUGCCCUCAGGAUGAGAUUCUUGCUAGCCUAUUCUUCAAGCUUGUUAAGAUCUUUGCCUUUCUUUGAUAACAGACCUUAGAAGUUUGGGUAACAUUUUCUGCAUGUGCUCAUGAAAAGAAAAAAAAAUGAAUAAAGAGAGAAAAAAAAGAAGAAAAAAAAGGAGUAAAUAUAGGACUUUUGUAUAUAUGUGCAAACUCACAAGUGUUAUGCUGUUUUGUACCACCACCCUACAUUCCUUACAAUACUACUAGAGGCCAAGGAAAACGGAAAUCCCAGCUGACAUCAACAGGAGUUUUUACUGGCUGCAAUGACCUUGAAGAUAGUCCAGACAUGUAAAGCAUAACAGCAGGAAUCAGGAUGUCAGCAUUAGCACUGGGAUGGAAUUGAUUAACAUGAUUUUUCUAGAAAGGAAGGAAGAUAAGUUGCUGCUUUUGAGUGGGGGACUUGAAAUCUAUAACUAAUAUUCCUGACUGAAAUUCUGUUAGCAAAAUUUAUGACACAGAUGGGAAUCACAUUUUUCUUCAGAUAAGAACACUUCUUGUAGUCAUUCACUCUGUAUUUCAUGAGACACUAGCAGAUACAGUGAGCUAUUUCACUCUAUUUCUGCUUAUAGAGCAUCCUGACUUUUCGACACUUCAAAAACUGUAUAUAUUGUGAUGACUAUAUAGACAACCUCAAUGAAAGUCUACUACUGCAUGCUUAAUAAUUCACUUGUAUCCAAAUGGAAAUAUUCAUUGCAGCAUUAGCAAAGGCUGUUCUAAGUCAUGCAGUGGCUGUUCACCAAAUUUAACUUCCCAUGCCCAGAUUCUUGUAAGAAUUUCUCCUAUACAUUGCAUCUCCUUUAUUGCUUUAUUGCAGGAGCUUAGAAAAAACGCUGCCCUUCCAUAAUGGAAUUUUUCUCCUCCCUUGUUGCAGUUGCGUAUGCAUUUUACAAGUACACAAUGACUGUGCUGCUUUAACUUUGUUACAAUACUCGGGGAAUAAUUAGUUCUGUAUCUUCUAACAAAGAACAAAUGUAUUUGUUCAAAAAUUAAAUAUUUACUUUCCUAAGAGCCAUCAUAAGUUGUUGUGAGUGCUUGUCUACAUUAUGUGUGGAAAAUUAAAUAUACUCUGUAUAAUAAUUCUGCUGGUAUAAUAAAGGAUUAUGCAUGACAAGGGAAA
ensembl:lncRNA